GACGAACGCUGGCGGCGUGCCUAAUACAUGCAAGUCGAGCGGAGCGGCGGACGGGUGAGUAAUGCCUAGGAAUCUGCCUGGUAGUGGGGGAUAACGUCCGGAAACGGGCGCUAAUACCGCAUACUAUCAGAUGAGCCUAGGUCGGAUUAGCUAGUUGGUGGGGUAACGGCUCACCAAGGCGACGAUCCCUAGCUGGUCUGAGAGGAUGACCAGCCACACUGGAACUGAGACACGGUCCAGACUCCUACGGGAGGCAGCAGUGGGGAAUAUUGCACAAUGGGCGCAAGCCUGAUGCAGCCAUGCCGCGUGUAUGAAGAAGGCCUGCGGGUUGUAAAGUACUUUCAGCGGGGAGGCGUUACCCGCAGAAGAAGCACCGGCGAACUCCGUGCCAGCAGCCGCGGUAAUUC
rnacentral:rRNA from 1 species